rnacentral:misc_RNA from 1 species
GUAUUAUGUUAAGCCAUCAAAGGCCAUUAGACAUUCUACAAGACAAUAUACAGAGUUUAUAAAUGUAUGGGCAAAGGUGUAGCCCCAGCGAUCAUUACAAUCGCAGCUCCCAUUACGGAGGACUACAGAGCUUUGAAAGUGCACAGGUGUAAUGUGGAUUUGACGGAAACCGAGCACAUGCAGCUAUUACACUGCCAGCAUCAAGCUUCACUUGCAAAUUCAUCAAAUGAUCCUUCCGCAGGUUCACCUACGGAAA